CAGAGCCUGCCCCCCAGAGGCCAGGAGACGCCGCCCUAGACAGGUGCCGCUCCCAUGCUGCCUUCCCCAGAGUCUCAGAUCCUGACCCAGAUGGCCCGGCCCCGUCCUCUCCUCCAGGGAGCUGCUGGGCAGGCAGAGGGGGGCCUUCUCCGUUCCUGCCUCGGGUCACAUCUCAGGCUCACUGGCAGGCAUCUGUCCUUGUGGUCCCACGCCAGCUGCUCUGGCCAGAGCCCCGUGGAGGGGCACGGUGGGCUUAGCCCUGGACGCCCACCCCCAGGCCCAGCCAGCCUCACGAGCGGUGCGUCCACUCGCCCGGCCAGAACAGGGAGGUUUGGCCUUGGAGGGUUGCAGGGUGCAGGACUGCCUUCCAGGCAAGCCCACCACCACCACCACCAUCCCCCUCAGUGUGGGCCUGGGGGUGCCAGGGUGGUGGAUGGAGCCCAGGAGCGUGUGAGUGGGUCCUGCAUGAGGGCCCCGUCUGCUCCUGACUCUAUGGGGCAACCAUAGAGGGACCGAGUGGCCCCAGUGUGGAGGAGAGGCAGGGAGGGGGAGCAUAGGGGGAGGGAGAGGGACUCAAGUGGGUCCCACAACCUCACCCUCGGCCUGCCUGGGUGCAGGCGGGGACCUGACGCCCCCUGCCACCUUGGGGCUGCGCCAGGUACCUGCCUGCCCCUCUGGCCUGGGCUUUGUUGAACUCAGGUGGCCUGGACGUGAGUGAGUGCUCUGAGGGGGCCUCAUGGGGACAGUGGCUUCAAACUUUCUCCGGCACAAGGUGCCCCGUCCCCAGAGGUUUCUGGAUCGGGCUUCCAUGGCAGCAGGCGUGACCUGGCCAAGAGCUGAGCCAGGCCUCCUGCCUGUAAGGGCCGCUGGCCGGGAGCAGAGCAGGAAGGCUGGACCCCAGCCCUGCUGGACACCUGCCUGGCAGAGGACACUCGAAGACAAGCCAGGCCAAUCCAGAGCUGAGUCCAGAGCUCCCAAGAGGCCCCCGACGGCGGAGCACCACGUCGGCCACGUGGACACCACAUGGCACCCCACGGCCGCCACCAGAGAAGCCCCCCUUCCCCGGGGCCUCGCCUCCCUCGGACACCAUCCCCACCUGUCAUCCCUCCUGAGUGGUAUGUGGACUGUCCAGGGGGUGAGUCAGGUAGAGGCAGGGGCUCCGAGGGGCAGUGGCCAGAGAUGCUCUGGGGAAGGGCGAGGGCGAUGCCCUGCGGGGAGGGGACUCCGGACACACCCUCGGUCGCACGGCCCACCCUACUGGGCUCGGCUGAGGAAGGCGGAGGGUCCGGCAUCGAGGCGACAGCUAACUGCUCGAGAGCCCAGAAGGCAGUGGUGGAGGGCAGCCCUCUGAUGGCCGGGGCCGGGCAGCACCCUGGACAUCCAGGCAGACAGGGAAACUGCUCAACCCAGUAACACGGACACGUGGCCUUUCCUGCCUGCCCUUCCCUUCUCUGGGGACGUGGGGCCAGGAGCACUCCCGGGGCGCAGGGCUCGCCUCACCCGGGGCCCAGCCCUGCCAGGGGAUGGGGGCCCUGAUUCUGACCCCCAGCUCAGCCGGAGGCCAGUCCUGAGGAGUGAGGCCAAGUGAGCCCGAGGGCGGGCGGAGAGUGUGGCGCUGUGGCCGCGCCCUGUCCAGGUGGGCGUGCGGUCUGCAGCUCGGGGCCCCAGGACCUCAGAUGGCUCCCGGACCAGAUGCACAGCAGCAAGGGGCUGGGGGGGGCUUCCUGUCCCUGACCUGUCCCCUAACCUGGCCUCCGUCUCAGAGCCUAGGUGGUACUCCGUGACCUCGGGCCUUGGGGGUGCGCAUGAAAGACAGGCAGGGAGGCAGUGUUCUUCCUUCUGGGCCCCGCUGUCCCCCUGCCCCAGCCCCACCUGGGUGGGACCCCGGCCCACAGGGGAAUGGGCUUCUGGAUCACACCACAGCCCACCCCACACCCCCUUCCGGAAGCACCUGUGUCGGCGGGUCUGGAGCAUGGGGUGGGGUGCCUGGGGACGUCCCCGGGGAGUUGGGUGCACAGGGGGGCCACCGCUUCUCCCUCAGGGCAGCAGAUUGGGGUCCGCGGUUCCGACGCCACUUGCCCCCCUCCUUGAUUAAAGACGUGAGGCGCCUCUGUAUCCCCCCCAGGGAAGGGGGGGCAGGCCAGGAAGGACCCAGCCAGCCCCGCUAGCCCUCGUCUGACGAGCAGAGCUGCCACCUUCCAAGAAGGGGCCACAGCUCAGCACGCCCCAGAGCGAGAGGGACAGGGCACCAGGCCGGGACCUGCCCAUCUGUGCCCCAUGUCCACUUGAGGUCAGGGGAGACUGGGGGCCCCCAUGAGGGCCCGGGGGAGGGGCAGUCCCCGAGAGGGGGG
rnacentral:lncRNA from 1 species